GGCAGCUAGCAAAGCUCGCGGGUGAACUGCACAGGCCAUGGUGGGUGCAGAGCUCAGAGCCGGAAAGCAAACAGCUGCUGUAGCCUGAUUUGAGUUAAAAUAGUGUGAGUGUUUAGUCUGGCGCACGGCUUCAGGGGAGAUUGGCAGCUGGGUCAAACAAAGUCCUUCCAUUGGCUCCCUUCCCAGGCAGCUUCUGCUAGUGUUUAGGUACUAGUGCAGUGUAGAACCCUUUUCUCAGGCAAAACCUAACAUCUGACCGCACCCUUUUUGCUAUUAAAAAAAAAAAAAAGCUUCUAUUUUUUUCCUCCUGUCGUUAAGAUAAAUUCUCCAGUAGACAACCUCUCCCACUAAUUGUGUAUUAGCAACGUAUUUUAUCUUGAGAGCUUGUACACUGGGCUCUCAACGUGGUGUGGAAGGUAGCCUGUUACAGUGCUGGAUUCAUAAAAGGGCCUUUAUGGUUUGUGAAAGAAUAUCUGUGUGCUUAGGGAGGAAACUUUUUGAUCUGCAGAAAAGCCAGAAGACAUCUAGGACAUCCAUAAAAAUUCAUCAGAGAGCAUUUUACUACUGAGCUGCAAAGGUAGGAAAAAUAAAUUUUUUUUGGUUAGAAAAUAUACUUCUUUCAUCUGCGUUUCAAUAAUUUAUUCCCCUUGUUAGAUAUACAUGGAAUUGAUAUUGCUUAUUCUGACUAAGUGAAAAGUGUUAUUUCUACUUACUGCUCAAUUAGAAACAUGUAGUGUUUAAUUGUCAGUUUGAAUUUUUCUUUCAUACUAUUACAGUUUAUAUUUUACUAUAGGCAGAAUUUCCUCUUUAUCCUAAAUUUUGAUAUUCUCCAUAAUUUCAUCGUGCCUUGACAUUGCUGUAUAUAAUUUCUAUACAUCAGGAAGGCAAUUCUGUGUGCAUGUGUGUGUGUAUAUAUAUAGUUAGAAGUUAGAAACUGAAACUCUUUUUUGUCUACCAUCAUUUCAUAUUUUUCUUGCUAUUUCAAACCUAUAAUUUUUAAAGAAACGACUAACGUAAUCAUUCAUAGAAUAUGCUGUCAGUAACUUAACAAUAUAAAUGUUAACAUGGAGGCAUUUAGUUCAGCAUUUGCUUUACUUAAUAGAGUGCAGAAAAUGUGGCCCUUUUCUCAGUUAGGGUGUAUGUGAAGAUAAAUUUAGAAUUUCUAGACUAGUAAAUACUUCUCUGAUAAUAACUUAAUUAUAGCUAUUUCAAACCAAAUUGUUUAAUUGUGGUGAAUCAUAUGUAAAUUGUUCAGAUGUAGGUCAACACCCACGCCCACAUUCUAGCACCUCUUUCCUAAUUCAAGACAACUUUGCAGUGCCUAAAAGAGCUGAACAGUGCAGAUUAGAGACAUAAGACAAAAAAAAAAAAAAAACACAAAACAAUGGUAACAUAAAAA
rnacentral:lncRNA from 1 species